GUUGAUGAAUUCAGAAUAUUUCUUGACCAAUUCCUUUAGUUUGAGCUCAUCCAAAUAUUCCCCUGCUUCAUCUCUUAGAUGCAGUCUAAUUUCAGUUCCACGGCCAAGAGGUUCAUUCCAUGUAUCUUCAGAAAUGGCAAAUGCCCCAUCUGCCUUUGAUUCCCAGACAUAUUGUUUGUCGUCAUUGUGCUUGCUGAUGACUUCAACAUAGUCAGCCACAAGAUACACAGAGUAAAACCCAACACCAAAUUGUCCAAUCAGGUUAAGGUCACCACUUGUCUGCAUCUUCUCGACAAAAGCUGAAGUUCCAGAUUUAGCUAUGGUUCCCAAAUUCUUUCUUAGAUCCUCCUUGGUCAUUCCAACACCUCUGUCGCGAAUGGAAAGAAUUUUCUUUUCUUUAUCAAGUUUAAUCUGAAUCUCAAGCUUAGUAUUAUCACCCUCACCAAGAACCUCCUUGUCAGUGAGUGCAAGGAACCUAAUCUUGUCCAGUGCAUCAGAAGCAUUGGAAAUCAGCUCCCUCAAAAAGAUGUCCUUGUUACUGUAGAGAGAGUUGAUAAGGAUGUCCAUAAGACGAGAGACCUCAGCCUGGAACUCAAACUUCUCCGCACUAGCUCGGAGAGUUUUCCUUGACAUAGACUCAGCUUCCCUCUUAGCCACAUCAGAAUCAGUCGAUAAACCAUUAGGAACAGCACCAAACUUCUCCUCAACCUUUGGUGGAUCUACUGGUGCAUCAGAAUCAGCUUCUGCAUUUGCCUGUAUCUUUCGACCUUGAUCUGGAACAAGGUAAAUCAGGCAUAGCAGAAACAGGACGAACGGGAUCUUCCACUUCCUCAUUGUCUCCGUCACCGGAAUUUCAACUUUAGAGCUCGCCGGCCGAUGAUUUUACAAGCAGCGUUCAAAGUAG
rnacentral:misc_RNA from 1 species